rnacentral:rRNA from 1 species
UUGAAAGGGAAACGAUUGAAGUCAGUCGUACCUGCGGACAAUCAGCCUUCCGGGUGUGAUUACGUGGGACUUGAGGAGCUAAACACCCUCUUGAUUUGCGUAUUUGUGCUCGUGGGUGUAUUUGCCCGUGCGGUAGGUUAACAUCAAUUUCGGGCAUCAUAAAAUGGUUGGGGGAAUGUAGCUUCGACCUCGGUUGAAGUGUUAUACCCUCCGGCAGAUGUGGGGACCGGGAUUGAGGAUUGCAACGGAUACCUUUUGGGGCUACCCGUCUGAUCUCUGAUGGUUACUCUGGGGCCCAAAGCUUGCUUACGGUUAUCAAAGUUGACUGUCAAUAGGUUAGAACGGGUUAAAUUCGUUAAGGAUGU